rnacentral:rRNA from 1 species
UACGGGAGGCAGCAGUGGGGAAUAUUGCACAAUGGGCGCAAGCCUGAUGCAGCCAUGCCGCGUGUAUGAAGAAGGCCUUCGGGUUGUAAAGUACUUUCAGUCGUGAGGAAGGUGUUAAGGUUAAUAACCUUAGCAAUUGACGUUAGCGACAGAGGAAGCACCGGCUAACUCCGUGCCAGCAGCCGCGGUAAUACGGAGGGUGCGAGCGUUAAUCGGAAUUACUGGGCGUAAAGGGCACGCAGGCGGUUAAUUAAGUUGGAUGUGAAAUCCCCGGGCUUAACCUGGGAAUGGCAUUUCAAGACUGGUUUAGCUAGAGUCUUGUAGAGGGGGUAGAAUUCCAUGUGUAGCGGUGAAAUGCGUAGAGAUGUGGAGGAAUACCGGUGGCGAAGGCGGCCCCUGGACAAAAGACUGACGCUCAUGUGCGAAAGCGUGGGGAGCAAAACAGGAUUAGAUACC